GGCCUCGUGGCGCAACUGAAUAGCGCAUCAGAUUUCGGCUCUGAGGGUUGGGGGUUUGAAUCCCUUCGAGGUCACUA
rnacentral:tRNA from 3 species